rnacentral:lncRNA from 1 species
AUUCCCAACUUAUGCGAUUUUCUUUUUUGAGAAAAAGUAGCAAGCUACCUGCUUCAUUCAUUAGGCAAAAUGAACUAAGCAAAUAGGAUGAAAGCAGCCGGGGCUUCCUUAAAAAAGAUACACUAAAAGGAGACAAAAAAGAGAUAAAAAAGGAAAGAAAAAUAAAGCAAAGAAGGGACGAGCGGCGGAGAAAAAGGGAAAAGGGACGGAUGACGGAGGGAUAGGGAUCAGGCGAUCAAAGAAUGUCGUUCAAAGAGGCUAGCAGGAGUUUGAUGCGCUCAACCGACCGAGAAGGGUUGAGGAGUUUAGCUCGGAAGAUAAUAUGAUUCCUUUCUGUCCAGACGACCCACCAGGUUGCCGCUAAAAGGGUUAAACCUUUAGUUCUCUUUGAAGCAUCGCUAAUGUUAGUUAUCCUUAAACAGAGAACGCGGACGUCGUCGAGGAACUCCGUGAGGACUUCCGAACUGUCCGCGCAUAGGAAAAGGUAUCUAAUAAAAACGCAAUUGCAUAAUAGGUGAUCACAACUUUCCGUGUUAAGAGCACAGAACACACAGUUUUGAUCCACCCAUCGGCCUCAAUCAAUCAGUCUAUCGGCCAUAAGAAUUCUUUUGCGAAGAAGUAGCCAAAUAAACACUUUAAUUUUAGCAGGGGAUUUCAGUCCCCAGAUGAAGGCACUCGUCGAGUCUCUCUGUCCAGCAUCAGUGAGAAACGUAUAAGUGGAUUUAACGGUGAAUAGUUGAUUCGAGGUCCAGUGCCAGUUAACCGAAUCUGGUGAAUUACUAGGGCUGAAGGGUUGAAGUAGGGCCAUAAGCGAUGUCAAUAGUCUGCGAUUAUGUGCUGAUAGAGACGCCAUAAAACCUCUGCAAAUGAAACGCCAUCUCCAGCCAAUUGGAUCCCAGCAUUGAGACAAUGUAACCUCCUUGCUCCGUAAGCUAUCGAAAAUAGCCGGGAACAUGGUUCUCAAAGGGGUUUCUCCAAACCAAAUGUCUGACCACAUCCUGAUGAUUCUUCUGUCUCCAAGCAUAUAGGAAACGCCACAUUUGAACACAUCUCGGCAACGUAACAUGGUUUUCCACCAUUGCGAAUACGGGACGACGGCUCCGCCUUCGAGUAAAGGUCUCCGUCUCUUGUAGUUUAGAUGUCUAACCAACUUGUUUUAGUGCAACGACGGCUCAUUAAUGAACGGCCACCACCACUUGGUUAGAAGAGCCAAAUUCAUCGAUUCCAUUUCUUUGAUUCCUAGCCCCCCUUCUAUUUUGCUUUUGCAGACAUUUUUCCAGCUGACAAGGCAAGCACCCCCGGUGACUUUAGAGCAGCCUUUCCAGAAGAAAGCUCUUCUCAGGGUUUCAAUCCGGUGCAAAACCCAUUGAGGCACUUUGAAUAUGGAGAGAUAGAAAAGCGGUAAAUUCGUAAAGACCGAGUUGACAAGAGUAAGCCUACCCUCUUGGGAGAGUAGUUUAGCCUUCCAACCUUUGAUUCUAGUCUUAAUAUGAUUGAUAACCAAAGCCUAGUCCUCCUUUUGAAGUUGCUUAUUAAAGAGAGGUAGACCCAAGUAGCGAAAGGGAAGAUUACCUACCUUACAUCCCAGGAUAUUAGCUAAUCUAACGGCUUUGUGUGGAUUGGAUCCCAAAUAGUACAAUUCUAAUUUGUUCAUGUUGAUUCUGAGUCCAAAUGCCCAUUCGAAGAUUUUCUAAAGGAAGCGCAGGUUUCGCAUGAUAGAUUUUCUAGGUUUGCAAAAGAAGAUCGUAUGCGUACUGAAUAAGGAUCGUGUGGCAAUCAGCUGACGACCCGAUUCCGAAUAAUAACUCAUUACUCCUGGCAGCCUUAGUCAGCCUGGCGAGGCAGUCAGCUACCAAUAGAAAAAGAUAAGGAGAAAAGGGGUCACCUUGUCUAAGGCCUUUUCUAGCUUUCAACCAUUUAGUCGGGGUCUCAUUCACUAGGAUGGCCACUUUAGCGUUACAGAUGCACCUUCGAUCCAAGACCACCAUUUGUCACCGAGACUUAUCCACUGCACAAUAUUCUUUAGAAAGGACCACCUCACACUGUCAAAGGCUUUUUUCAAAGUCGAUCUGCCUUGAUACUCACGCAUUCCUUUCCUGUUUUAGAACACUAAGCAACUAACUCGCAAACAGUGACGAAGGAGUCUGCCAGCAGACGAUCUUUAAGGAAGGCCGAUUGCACGGGAUUAAUAAUGUCAAGAAAAAUACAAGCCAACCUGUUCGCAAGAACUUUGGAUAUGAUUUUUUGAAUACCGUUCAGAAAGCUAAUCGAGCGAAAGUCGUUAACCCGACACGCUCCCUCGUUUUUGGGAAUGAGACAAACAAAAGAGUAGUCUGAAGGACCAGGGAAGAGUUUGCCAUCCUGGAGGUCGAUGAAGAAUUUGAAGAUAUCAUCCUUGACCAUUUCCUGGAAAGUUUGAAAGAAGAUAAGUGGAAAGCCAUCUAGCCUAGGGGCUUUGUCACUUCCCAAUUGAAAGGUCGCGGUUUUAGCUUCCUCGAGGGUGAACGGGGACGUGAGAGCGUCAGGCCUAAGCACUCAGUUAGAUCGGUAGAGCCCACUCAACUCUCCCUGCGACAAUCGUGUCUCGGGAUAGUCGAAUAGUCGUUUAAGAUUUUGGAAAAAGUAGGAUCUUAUAUGAUCUUUGUUAUUAAUUUGUCUUCCAGCGUCGUCUUCAAUAAAUUCAAUUCGUGUUGACACAUUUACGACCGUUGGCUUUCGAAGUUAGAAAGUGUGGUUGAGUACAUUUAUUAUGCAAAAAGACAUAAUAGCUAGCUUCUCUGUUAAGAUCCCUUAAUAGCUACAUUAAGAACACGGAUAGGAGUUUUAAAUUAAAAUUUUCACUUUUAAAUUGUUAAAUUUUCUAAUUUCCUACUUUGAUUAGAUUAUAGUACUUCAGUUUUUUAAAUUGAUUUUUUUUCUUUUUUUUUCUAUUCUUUUUUGUUGAUUUGCCGAGCUGAAUUAGCUUGUCGAAUUAGCAAAGGCCGCUAGAUGGAGGGGGCCCACCAUGUAAAUAACGUGGGGCUCUCUAUCGUGCGAUUUUGUUUGGUGAGGAUUAGGACAACCUCUUUAUAAUUAAUUACUAGGACUACUAUUACAUUUCUCAAAUUGAAAAGUUGUUUUUAGAAUUGACCCAUAUAUGACAUUUUCUAACUUGAAAAGUAUUCACUUAUUCGCUUUACAUGCCGGUCUUCUUCUUUGGUUUGUAAUAAGAGACUUCCGAGAUGAUUCUGAACUUUUUUUUUUUUUCCAAAAGACUACUGUGACACUUCAAUAAUUCUACAUCUGAUGAGAAUGAGAUUGUGUUUGGAAAUAUAAGAACUAUAGACUCUAAUAAUAAUAAAUGAGCCGAAGCACUUUGGGCCAAUGGUUUGAGCCCAAUGAGUUAUUAUUAUUAGUGGGCCGAAUCGUUACAUUUAGUAUCAAAGUCGAUUCACUAGCCAGAAGUGUAAAGUGGAUAUCACAUCGUUUCGUGAUCUUGGGCUAAUCUUGGACUAUGUGUGUGAUUGAAGCCAUUCACUAGCCAAAAGUGUGAAAUAGAUCUCACAUCGUUUGAUAAUUUUUGGACUAAUCUUGGGCUAUAUACGUGAUUGGGCCGACGAGGACUGUGAUAUUGGACUAAUUUUGGGCUACAUGUGUGAUUAGGCUGACGAUGACGUCAAGAGUUAAAUCGGGAAAGUCUGUGACACUUUAAUAGUCAUAUAUUGGAUGAGAACGAGGUUAUAUUUGUACAAGGAAGCAUGAACUCUAAAAAAUAAUAGUUGGGCUUAAGUAUUUUAAGCCAGUGAUUUUGGCCAAACAAGUUAUUAUUGUUAGUAAUCAGGAUCAUUUUAACUACUGUGCCAAGGAUUAUGAUAAUGUUUUGAAGAUUUUUUUCUCCAAAUUUUGCCCAAGGGUGUCUUAAUGCCCCAUGAUGGACUUUCAUGGGUUCAAAUCUAGAUCUCCAAAGCCUUCCAUGGAGUACCACCACUAUUUCUAACCAUUUGGUGUUUUUUUUUUUUUUUAUUUUUUUGAGAGAGAGAUAGAUAACACGCUACCCGCUUCGUUUAUUUUCAUUUAGAAAUAAACUUAGCUAGAAAAUUGUGAAUCAACUAGGAUUUGAACUUGAGUCUCGGGUACCAACCACCAAGCCCUUUGCCACUUGCUUUAGGGACGGUCGGUCAUUUGGUGCUAGCUAGUUAUGGUUUGUAAAUUCUCAUAUUUAUUGUAAAAAGAAAAUAUACAUGGAUAAUAGUGGAUCACUAUAGAUAAAAAAUUUGAAAUUAGUCAUAGUACCCUUGCCACUCAAAAUUGCUUAAAGAAGAGCAAAAAAACCAAAAGAGAAAACUAAAAAAAGCGAGUUUUAAGAUUGUUUUUUAGUCUUUAAUAUGUUUUGGGUUAAUCAUACCAUUGGUCCCCAACCUUUUUCCAAAUGUUCAAUUGGGUCUCUAUUUUUUUUUUUUUUUCUGGUGUCAAUCAAGUCCCCAACAUUUAUAAUUCAUGUCAAUUGAGCCUUUGCCGUCGAUGAUUUCAUUACUGUAAUACUUUAAGAGAUAGGAGAAGAAAAGAAGAGUGAGGAGGAGAAAAAGAUGAAGAGGAAAAAUGAAGAAGGAAAAGAAUAAGCGAAAAAAAAAAAAAGAAAGAAGAAAAAGAAGAAAAGAAGCAAAUGAUAAUAAGAAGAUGAUAAUGAUGGGUAGAACAAAGAAGAACAAGAAAGAAAGAGAAGAAAAGGAAGGAAAAUAAAUGGAAAAAAAAGAGAGGCAGGAGAGGAGAGAAGAAGAAAAGAUGAAGAAAAAAAAAUGGAGAAAAAUACAAAGAAGAAAAAAAAGGAGAAGAACAAGAAAAAAGGAUAAAAGGAUAGAGAAAAUAAAAAAAUAAAAAAUAAAAAAUAAGAGAGAGGAAGAAAAAAAGAAGGGGAGAAAAAAAGUAAAACCGAUUGCUUAAAGAGUCUUUAGAGAGAUGAAAACAUAAUUCUUUUUUCAAAAUUCCGUCAAUCACGAGCACUUAUGUGUCAAAUCCAUUAAAGAUAACAGAGUCAUAAGCAGCGGAGACCUAUUGGAAUAAAUUAUAUAUAUUGUAUAUUUAAUUAACGUAAAUACAAGGCUAAGGAUCCUAUUGAAUAUUUGCGAAAAGGUUCGGGACCAAUAGUGCAAUUAACCCCUUUUCUUUAAUUUUUUUUACUUUUUUAACUUAACUUUUAGUUUUUUUU